rnacentral:rRNA from 1 species
UACGUAGGGGGCAAGCGUUGUCCGGAUUUAUUGGGCGUAAAGAGCGUGUAGGCGGCCAUGCAGGUCCGUUGUGAAAACUCGAGGCUCAACCUCGAGACGCCGAUGGAAACCGCAUGGCUAGAGUCCGGAAGAGGAGAGUGGAAUUCCUGGUGUAGCGGUGAAAUGCGCAGAUAUCAGGAGGAACACCAGUGGCGAAGGCGACUUACUGGACUGUAACUGACGCUGAGGCGCGAAAGCGUGGGGAGCGAACAGG